GACGUAGGUGGCGAACGUUUAUCCGGAAUUAUUGGGCGUAAAGGGUGCGUAGGCGGCAUGAUAAGUUAUUGGCGGCAAAUCGAGGCUCAACCUCGUGGAAACUGAUAAUACUGUCUUGCUUGAGUGCAGAAGAGGUUAACGGAACUCCAUGUGGAGCGGUAAAAUGUGUAGAUAUAUGGAAGAACAUCAAUAACGGCGAAGGCAGUUAACUAUUCUGUUACUGACGUUGAGGCACGAAAGCGUGGGGAGCAAAAAAGG
rnacentral:rRNA from 1 species